rnacentral:rRNA from 1 species
GAUGAACGCUGGCGGCGUGCCUAAUACAUGCAAGUCGAGCGAACGGACGAGAAGCUUGCUUCUCUGAUGUUAACGGCGGACGGGUGAGUAACACGUGGAUAACCUACCUAUAAGACUGGGAUAACUUCGGGAAACCGGAGCUAAUACCGGAUAAUAUUUUGAACCGCAUGGUUCAAAAGUAAAAGACGGUCUUGCUGUCACUUAUAGAUGGAUCCGCGCUGCAUUAGCUAGUUGGUAAGGUAACGGCUUACCAAGGCAACGAUGCAUAGCCGACCUGAGAGGGUGAACGGCCACACUGGAACUGAGACAAGGUCCAGACUCCGACGGGAGGCAGCAGUAGGGAAUCUUCCGAAAUGGGCGAAAGCCUGAAGGAGCAACGCCGCGUGAGUGAUGAAGGUCUUCGGAUCGUAAAACUCUGUUAUUAGGGAAGAACAUAUGUGUAAGUAACUGUGCACAUCUUGACGGUACCUAAUCAGAAAGCCACGGCUAACUACGUG